UCGAGAGGCUUCUACAAUGGGGGAAACCCUGAUAGAGCGACGCCGCGUGGGUGAUGAAGGUCUUCGGAUCGUAAAGCCCUUUCAGCAGGGAAGAACGGAUUGGUGCUAAUAUCACCGUAUCCAUGACGGUACCUGCAGAAGAAGCUCCGGCUAACUACGUGCCAGCAGCCGCGGUAAUACGUAGGGAGCUAGCGUUGUCCGGAAUUACUGGGCGUAAAGAGCGCGUAGGCGGGUAUUUAAGUCAGAUGUGAAAACUAUAGGCUCAACCUGUAGCCUGCAUUUGAAACUGGAUAUCUUGAGGGCAGGAGAGGAAAGUGGAAUUCCUAGUGUAGCGGUGAAAUGCGUAGAUAUCGGGAGGAAUACCGGUGGCGAAGGCGACUUUCUGGCUGAAUACUGACGCUGAGGCGCGAAAGCGUGGGGAGCAAACA
rnacentral:rRNA from 1 species